rnacentral:rRNA from 1 species
AUGAACGCUAGCUACAGGCUUAACACAUGCAAGUCGAGGGGCAGCAUGGUCUUAGCUUGCUAAGACUGAUGGCGACCGGCGCACGGGUGAGUAACACGUAUCCAACCUGCCGUCUACUCUUGGACAGCCUUCUGAAAGGAAGAUUAAUACAAGAUGGCAUCAUGAGUCCGCAUGUUCACAUGAUUAAAGGUAUUCCGGUAGACGAUGGGGAUGCGUUCCAUUAGAUAGUAGGCGGGGUAACGGCCCACCUAGUCUUCGAUGGAUAGGGGUUCUGAGAGGAAGGUCCCCCACAUUGGAACUGAGACACGGUCCAAACUCCUACGGGAGGCAGCAGUGAGGAAUAUUGGUCAAUGGGCGAGAGCCUGAACCAGCCAAGUAGCGUGAAGGAUGACUGCCCUAUGGGUUGUAAACUUCUUUUAUAAAGGAAUAAAGUCGGGUAUGCAUACCCGUUUGCAUGUACUUUAUGAAUAAGGAUCGGCUAACUCCGUGCCAGCAGCCGCGGUAAUACGGAGGAUCCGAGCGUUAUCCGGAUUUAUUGGGUUUAAAGGGAGCGUAGAUGGAUGUUUAAGUCAGUUGUGAAAGUUUGCGGCUCAACCGUAAAAUUGCAGUUGAUACUGGAUAUCUUGAGUGCAGUUGAGGCAGGCGGAAUUCGUGGUGUAGCGGUGAAAUGCUUAGAUAUCACGAAGAACUCCGAUUGCGAAGGCAGCCUGCUAAGCUGCAACUGACAUUGAGGCUCGAAAGUGUGGGUAUCAAACAGGAUUAGAUACCCUGGUAGUCCACACGGUAAACGAUGAAUACUCGCUGUUUGCGAUAUACAGCAAGCGGCCAAGCGAAAGCGUUAAGUAUUCCACCUGGGGAGUACGCCGGCAACGGUGAAACUCAAAGGAAUUGACGGGGGCCCGCACAAGCGGAGGAACAUGUGGUUUAAUUCGAUGAUACGCGAGGAACCUUACCCGGGCUUAAAUUGCAGAUGAAUUACGGUGAAAGCCGUAAGCCGUAAGGCAUCUGUGAAGGUGCUGCAUGGUUGUCGUCAGCUCGUGCCGUGAGGUGUCGGCUUAAGUGCCAUAACGAGCGCAACCCUUGUUGUCAGUUACUAACAGGUCAUGCUGAGGACUCUGACAAGACUGCCAUCGUAAGAUGUGAGGAAGGUGGGGAUGACGUCAAAUCAGCACGGCCCUUACGUCCGGGGCUACACACGUGUUACAAUGGGGGGGUACAGAGGGCCGCUACCACGCGAGUGGAUGCCAAUCCCCAAAACCUCUCUCAGUUCGGACUGGAGUCUGCAACCCGACUCCACGAAGCUGGAUUCGCUAGUAAUCGCGCAUCAGCCACGGCGCGGUGAAUACGUUCCCGGGCCUUGUACACACCGCCCGUCAAGCCAUGGGAGCCGGGGGUACCUGAAGUGCGUAACCGCGAGGAGCGCCCUAGGGUAAAACUGGUGACUGGGGCU